CUGUAGAACAAUGAAUAGCGCGCGCGCGUUCGACUUCUAAUCCAAAGGUCGUGGGUUCGAAUCCCACCUGAAAUGA